rnacentral:rRNA from 1 species
CCUACGGGUGGCAGCAGUGAGGAAUAUUGGUCAAUGGUCGUAAGGCUGAACCAGCCAAGUCGCGUGAAGGAUGAAGGUUCUGCGGAUUGUAAACUUCUUUUAUCGGGGAAUAAAGGUAUCCUCGUGUGGCUAUUUGCGUGUACCCUAUGAAAAAGCAUCGGCUAAAUCCGUGCCAGCAGCCGCGGUAAUACGGAGGAUGCGAUCGUUAUCCGGAUUUAUUGGGUUUAAAGGGUGCGUAGGUUGUUUUUUAAGUCAGCGGUGAAAGUCUGUGGCUCAACCCUAGAAUUGCCGUUGAAACUGGAAGACUUGAGUGUGUUUGGUGUAGGCGGAAUGUAUGGUGUAGCGGUGAAAUGCAUAGAUAUCACGCAGAACUCCGAUUGCGAAGGCAGCUUACCGGGCCAUAACUGACACUGAAGCACGAAAGCGUGGGGAUCAAACAGGAUUAGAUACCCGGGUAGUC